GUGGGAGGAGUUUUGGGGAAGUGGAGAGGGGUUCUGAGAAGGCAGGAGGGGUUUGGGGGAGGUGGGAGGAGUUCUGAGGAAGGAGGAGGAGUUCUGAGGAGGGAGGAGGAAUACUGAGGUGGGAGGAGUUCUGAGGAUGGAGGAGGAGUUCUGAGGAAGGAGGAGGAGUUCUGAGGAGGGAGGAGGAAUUCUGAGGAGGUGGGAAGAGUUCUGAGGAGGGAGGAGGAAUUCUGAGGAGGGGGGAGGAGUUCUGAGGAGGGAGAAGGAAUUCUGAGGAAGGAGGAGGAGUUCUGAGGAGGGAGGAGGAAUUCUGAGGAGGUGGGAGGAGUUCUGAGGAGGCAGGAGGAAUUCUGAGGAGGGAGGAGGAGUUCUGAGGAGGUGGGAGGAGUUCUGAGGAGGUGGGAGGAGUUCUGAGGAGGUGGGAGGAAUUCUAAUGGGGGGAGUUCUGAGGAGGGGGAGGAAUUCUGAGGAGGUAGGAGGAGUUCUGAGGAGGCAGGAGGAGUUCUGAGGAUGUGGGAGGAGUUCUGAGGAGGUGGGAGGAAUUCCCAGGAGGUGGGAGAAGUUCUGAGGAGGGAGGAGGAGAGAGGCAUCCUAGGUCAAGCCAGAAAGAAGAGUGGUGAAAUUGCUUCCUGAUUCCUCCUUGGUGACUCUGAGGUUAGAGAGGAAGCUAAACUCUGAAGCCCACCUUAUAUACGGAAGAUGAUCUGGGGUCUGUGGCAUUCCAGGUCCUGCUCUCUCCCUAGGCCAUCACUUCAGAUCUGCAAUGGACUUUGUAUGUCAGCCAUGAUAAACCAAGGCCAUACCAGUUUUCUAUUUGGUCCUCAAAUGUACCAAACUCUUUCCUGCCCCAGGGACUUUGCGUAUGUUGUCUCCUAUACCUGGAAUAUAUGUUUUCCAAGCCUCUGUCUCUGAGACUCGGAUGAAAUGUCAUUUCCUCAGACUGGCCUUUCCUGACCACUCCACUUGCCCCUCCCACCCUUAGUCUGCAUUAUGCCCCCUAGUAUUUUCUCCCCCAGUUUCCCGUUCUUUUCCUUAUCUCACUCUGAAGCUGUGGGCUCCUUUGAUGAACACAUACCCUCCACAGGGCAGGAAUCCUGCUGUUUAUCAAUUUGGUACACACUGCCCCUUGCACACAGCAAGUGCACAAAAAGCAUUUGUUAAAUAUGUAUAGAAGCAAUACCAGGCCCCAAGACAGUGGCCCUGCCUGUGAUAUAGUGGGAAGACAGAUAAACACGUACUUAAGACCAGGGU
rnacentral:lncRNA from 10 species